AUGAAUCAAAACUUUCAACAACGGAUCUCUUGGUUCUGGCAUCGAUGAAGAACGCAGCGAAAUGCGAUAAGUAAUGUGAAUUGCAGAAUUCAGUGAAUCAUCGAAUCUUUGAACGCACAUUGCGCCCUCUGGUAUUCCAGAGGGCAUGCCUGUUCGA
rnacentral:rRNA from 1 species